UACGAAGGGGGCUAGCGUUGCUCGGAAUCACUGGGCGUAAAGGGUGCGUAGGCGGUUCUUUAAGUCCGGGGCGAAAUCCUGGAGCUCAACUCCAGAACUGCCUUUGAUACUGAAGAUCUUGAGUUCGGGAGAGGUGAGUGGAACUGCGAGUGUAGAGGUGAAAUUCGUAGAUAUUCGCAAGAACACCAGUGGCGAAGGCGGCUCACUGGCCCGAUACUGACGCUGAGGCACGAAAGCGUGGGGAGCAAACAGG
rnacentral:rRNA from 1 species